GCUCCGAGAGCUGAGAGAAAAAAAUAAAAAAAUCUUCUCAUCUCAACCAUCCAAAUUCAUUCAUAAUUUAAUCUGAACCCUUAAAAAUAUAAAAGAGGAUGCGUCUCUACAAAAACCCCUCACUCUCUGUCUCUCUAUCCGACCCCCAAACCCCAUCACCAUCGCAUACCACGACGAUCACGACCUCCAAUCAUCAGCACCAUCCCGCCAAUCACGACCCUUUCUCUGUUGAUUAUCCGGUGUCCCCUUCCUUCCUGAAUCCUUUCGUAUCUCCAACGACCACAACAAAGCACGCCGCCAUCACAACCAUCCAGCGAGUGGAAGAAAAUGGGGGUCUGGGUGUUCGGGGUCGUCUUUACCAAUUAUUUACAAUGCCAAAGGGAUAUGUCAUGACUCAUGAUUCUAAAACACAAGAUCCAAUUAAUAAAAGGUAUUUGUUUUCUUCAUCGAGGAGGUAUUGAGUAGAUACUAGGAAAUUGUCCCUCAUCUAAAGCUUGCAGGUCUGUGAUAUACCCUUUUGUUUUCUUCAUAUCACCACAAAUAUAUGGCGUUACAUUAGCAAUACAUAUUGCAUUACCAAUGUUGAUAUGGCGUUAUGGCUUAUAACUGAUGACACACACUGAAUACAGGUCAGGAGCGGUGUAGGUAGAGCAGGUAUUUACGUCUUUCUUUGUCUUCAACGGCAGAAAGGCUAGUUGUUCCAGUGACAUGGGAACUGUCCAUAUUUACAACUUGAAGUUUAGUUUUGGGCCAUUCUUUAACCAUAUCUGACCAAAAUAAUGGACCCCCAAGAGCCGUUUCACACCUAAUGUUCAUGAAAGGCCGGGUAGGGUUGUGACCAUGCUGACCAGCAAGGGACUAAUGACUAGGAUGAGGGAGUAAUGACUAGGCUGGU